GCAUAUGAUGGCCAGAGGGUGGAGCCCUAACAUUAAUGAAGUUUGAAUUCCUUCUCUCUUUCUCACGCGCGCGUGCGCACUCAUGCACAAACAAGCCUGACGAGAUCUUUCAUGAAGGUGCGCAAUGUUUGUUUUUGACCUUGUGGCUUGGGGCAAGGAGGUGGGACAAAGCAGUUGCAAUAGAAUGCAGCAAAUGGAAUGGAAGGAAGGCAGUUCACGUUAAAGGCAGACAAAAGGAGGUAAUGGUCCGCGGACAGUCAUGCUCUGCGAGUUGCUAGACGACAGGCGGAAAUGAAGGCGCCGGAAGCACGCUUCACACCUGCGCACUCCCCGGCACGCCAUCUAGCCCCCUCCUGCUAUCCCCACCACCGCCACUCACGAUAACGAACAUUCUUCUUUUUACAACUUGCCACUGGUUUUUGUUCCCAUUUUGUUUUUGUUUUUUCCAACUAGAAUGUGGAGUCAGUAAAAUAGUAAUAAGAUUGAUAAAGGUAAAGGUGAAGGUAAAGGUAAAGGCAGCCCUCAAGCUUUGGAUCAGUAGGAAGUGAGGUGUCGGAGGCCAUACUUGUAUGUGUGUAUGUGUGUGUGGUGGGGGGAAGGGGACAGUUUUUUUGUGAGGACAGCACCCAUCUCCUCUCCCCCACUGCCCUUUCUUCUCCAACCCUGUAAAAGAUGAAGUAUCAAUUCAACAGCUGGGGCAGGUAGGGGAGGUAGGAGGUAGACUACAGACAUCAGUGUUGGAAGAACUCGGCUAUCUGCUUCUCCAAGAAGUCAAAAUCACUACAUUAGCUGGUGAUGGUGCUGUGCAAUGGCCAUGCUUCGAACUCCAAACCGAGGCCAAACGUUUUGGGCAAAGCUCCUUUAUUUUGAUCCCAGCAGGGAAACAGACAAGGAAGAAUGAACAAAAACCUACGCUAAUUUAGUACUUCUUCAUUACUCAACCAUAAUAUAAUUAUGAAUAGUUCAGUAAUGAACUAAUAUUAUUACUUUAUCACCCAAUUAUAUUACUUCCACUAUCAAAGACUCGCUGGAAUUGAAAGACUAGAAUAUACUGAUUAUUAUAAGGAUUACAUCCAUUUUUUUUUCAAAAAGUGGAUAAUAACCGGGCUGGAAACUGGACUGACUAAGAAAUGAAAAAAGGAAGAAGGGAAGGCAAGACUUUCAUAACCAUCCUUAAGCAUGGUGAAAUCGCAAUGAUUGCACCGAUUGAAGCGCAUAAUCACACAGGAUUUUUCCGUAGGUAAGCCGAGGACAAGCUCAAACGGCAUCACAGAUGUCAGGCUGUGUGUUGUGAGAAGAAACUGUGGGAAACGACAUUCGCUUUGAAGAAGGUAGAAGGAGGGUUGGCGCCGGCACUAAAAGCCAGCCGUGAUGUUAAGACAAUCGAAGAAAUCCCUCAUCAGUCUCUCUCGAUGGUCUCUGUCAACAGUACGCACAUCAAAGAGCUUUCAACCUGAUUAAGAAACUCUGCUCAAGCUCGAGUUCUGUUAAAUCAACUCUGACCUUUCCAGUUUAAAAAAGUAACUUGCUGCCUCGGGGGAAGGGUGUGGAUGCCAGACAUAAAGCCGUGCAAUCUUAUGUCUUUCUGAUUAUACGAGAGGGAAUACUAAUUUGAAUGCAGGAAGACAAAUUCUACAUAAGUGGCCCGCCGUAUGAUGUCAAAAGAGGGUUAAUCAGUAUUGAAAUAUCUGGAGGUCUGCGAUUUGGACAGAAAGUCAAAUACAAGAACAUCAUCAGAGGGCCUACUGGUCCGUUGAAUCCCCCCCCCCCCAAACCUUCCUCCAACCUCCUGGUGUCAUCUUACAAUUAUUAGCCCCACUCUCUCCCUGUCCUCUUGGCUUCCCCCAAGUUCAAUAGUCUCUUCUGCCAUUAGCCUGAAGUUUACAGCUGGCACGAACAGCGGGGGCAAACUAUUCCCCGGAGAAAUAGCAGCUCGUGGGUGAAAUGCGAUGGUUAAUGUGGUUUCCAAGCGCCUCUCCUCCAUCUCCUUCGGUGCACGGAUCUGAAAGUAGUUCGAAAACUCUACGCCGCAUACACAAUAAAUAAAUAAAAGCACUAUUGUGUGUCAAUGCAUCUCCAUUAGUGCCUGCAUCAAACGGAGAGCUUGAUCGUUUGUAAAGGUGUCAACAACUUCCCACCUUGUGUCCUUCCUUUGAACAAACGUCUUGUGCGCUGGUCUCACUAACCUGCUCGAAUUUUGCCUGAAAUACGUACCCCUACCCGAAAUCCUGCCAUUAAAUCGGCGGGGCUGAGGUACCCGGACAGUUACUCUAACUGGGGGAGUAGUGGCGAUGUGAAUAGAUGGCUUCUUCAGUUCUUCUGGCUGGAAAAUACACCGCGUGAUACGAUCAGCACACACACACACACACUGAUACACACAUGCACAAACACACAUUGUCACACACACACACACACACACACACACACAAUGCUCGUAUUCACGCACAGACGGAGAGAGGAGGAUAAUAGCUCUUCUCUUUCUCUUCCGAGUAGGCGACUUGAUGACGCCAAUUUUAAGUGACGCCAGCAAGUACUACAUUUUGCGUCAGUUAUUGACGUCAAGGAUGAAAGGAACCAGCAAGCUAUUUGAAGAUGGUGGAACUUUACCGUGGUUAAGCGUUAAACAGUGAUGGGGCAUCUGCUGGAUGCUCAGAUGUGACAGAAAGCACCACGUCAGGCCAAUAUACCGUUGUCCGCGCUGAUGCAGCCCCUGGGACAGGACACUAGUUGCAGCCCAUGGCCCGUCGUGCCAAAGCUUCUUCAUCAGUGGCGGAGGACGCGUAGUCAGAAAGACACACAAAUCCCUCCCUUUAUUUCUGGCCUCGAAGAAGAGUAUUGUUGUUAGGGCUUGUCCCUCCGGACCCAUACUUCUCGUAUCAUCUCAGCAAAGCCGGCAACACACAAGGAAGAACACAAGCAUUUGUCCAGAGUCGAGAGGCAGAAAGAGAGAAAAUGAACUUAACAUCACACAGAAGAAUGUGUAUGAUGCCGAGGACUCUAGAUGCCGCGGUCGCCCAGAGCUUCUGGGAGGACAGCUCUUCAUUCAUCAUGGCCUGCUAAGCCUUGCGGCCUGAGGGGCGGGUCGUCAUUCCGGAGUCUUCCACACACUAAGUCUGUGUUUGAGCAUGCUGUUUGGAUAGUAUAGUAAAUACACUGGUGCCCAAUUCGCAAAAAAUAAAAAAAUGUGUUAAUUUAUAUGGACUUACAUUGACUUAGCUGAAAUGUGUGU